rnacentral:rRNA from 1 species
AUUGAACGCUGGCGGCAGGCCUAACACAUGCAAGUCGAGCGGAUGAAGGGAGCUUGCUCCUGGAUUCAGCGGCGGACGGGUGAGUAAUGCCUAGGAAUCUGCCUGGUAGUGGGGGAUAACGUCCGGAAACGGGCGCUAAUACCGCAUACGUCCUGAUGGAGAAAGUGGGGGAUCUUCGGACCUCACGCUAUUAGAUGAGCCUAGGUCGGAUUAGCUAGUUGGUGGGGUAAAGGCCUACCAAGGCGACGAUCCGUAACUGGUCUGAGAGGAUGAUCAGUCACACUGGAACUGAGACACGGUCCAGACUCCUACGGGAGGCAGCAGUGGGGAAUAUUGGACAAUGGGCGAAAGCCUGAUCCAGCCAUGCCGCGUGUGUGAAGAAGGUCUUCGGAUUGUAAAGCACUUUAAGUUGGGAGGAAGGGCAGUAAGUUAAUACCUUGCUGUUUUGACGUUACCAACAGAAUAAGCACCGGCUAACUUCGUG